rnacentral:rRNA from 1 species
UACAGAGGGCGCGAGCGUUGUCCGGAAUCACUGGGCGUAAAGGGCGCGUAGGUGGCCACCAUAAGGCCGCGGUGAAAGUUUGGGGCUCAACCCCAGAUCGGCCGCGGCGGACUGUGGGCUGGGGCACUGUAGAGGCAGAUGGAAUCCGGGUGUAGCGGUGGAAUGCGUAGAGAUCCGGAAGAACACCAGUGGCGAAGGCGGUCUGCUGGGCAGUGGGAGC